UACGUAGGGUGCAAGCGUUGUCCGGAAUUAUUGGGCGUAAAGAGCUCGUAGGCGGUUUGUCGCGUCUGCUGUGAAAACUCGGGGCUUAACCCCGGGCCUGCAGUGGGUACGGGCAGACUAGAGUGCGGUAGGGGAGACUGGAAUUCCUGGGGUAGCGGUGAAAUGCGCAGAUAUCAGGAGGAACACCGGUGGCGAAGGCGGGUCUCUGGGCCGUAACUGACGCUGAGGAGCGAAAGCGUGGGGAUCAAACAGG
rnacentral:rRNA from 1 species